rnacentral:rRNA from 1 species
AUUGAACGCUGGCGGCAGGCCUAACACAUGCAAGUCGAGCGGAUGAAGGGAGCUUGCUCCUGGAUUCAGCGGCGGACGGGUGAGUAAUGCCUAGGAAUCUGCCUGGUAGUGGGGGAUAACGUCCGGAAACGGGCGCUAAUACCGCAUACGUCCUGAGGGAGAAAGUGGGGGAUCUUCGGACCUCACGCUAUCAGAUGAGCCUAGGUCGGAUUAGCUAGUUGGUGGGGUAAAGGCCUACCAAGGCGACGAUCCGUAACUGGUCUGAGAGGAUGAUCAGUCACACUGGAACUGAGACACGGUCCAGACUCCGACGGGAGGCAGCAGUGGGGAAGAUUGGACAAUGGGCGAAAGCCUGAUCCAGCCAUGCCGCGUGUGUGAAGAAGGUCUGCGGAUUGUAAAGCACUUUAAGUUGGGAGGUAGGGUAGUAAGUUAAUACCUUGCUGUUUUGACGUUACCAACAGAAUAAGCACCGGCUAACUUCGUG